GAUGAACGCUGGCGGCGUGCCUAAUACAUGCAAGUCGAGCGAACAGAUGAGGAGCUUGCUCCUUUGACGUUAGCGGCGGACGGGUGAGUAACACGUGGAUAACCUACCUAUAAGACUGGGAUAACUUCGGGAAACCGGAGCUAAUACCGGAUAAUAUAUUGAACCGCAUGGUUCAAUAGUGAAAGAGGGUUUUGCUGUCACUUAUAGAUGGAUCCGCGCCGCAUUAGCUAGUUGGUACGGUAACGGCUUACCAAGGCAACGAUGCGUAGCCGACCUGAGAGGGUGAUCGGCCACACUGGAACUGAGACACGGUCCAGACUCCUACGGGAGGCAGCAGUAGGGAAUCUUCCGCAAUGGGCGAAAGCCUGACGGAGCAACGCCGCGUGAGUGAUGAAGGUCUUCGGAUCGUAAAACUCUGUUAGUAGGGAAGAACAAAUGUGUAAGUAACUAUGCACGUCUUGACGGUACCUAAUCAGAAAGCCACGGCUAACUACGUG
rnacentral:rRNA from 1 species